rnacentral:tmRNA from 1 species
GGGCUUGUACUGGUUUCGACGGGGAUUUUGAAAGUUGGGAAGCCAUUCGGAGGGACCACGUUACGGUGCGAACUUAAAUAUAAACGCAGAUAAUAAAUUAGCGUACGCUGCCUAAUUGCAGCUGCCCGCUCCAUACCACCUACAGUAUGGAAUCCGGGUAUCAAACUCUGUAGGACACUCAUCUGGUAAAGCUUUGCAUCAGGUGAAGUAAUAUGAAGCUACUAAAGUCGGCAGCCUGUUCAUGGGCGUCCGACGGAGGGAAUGUUAAAACAUGAACUGUAAUGGGAGAUGCCUGACCGGACGAGUUUUCGGACGCGGGUUCGAUUCCCGCCAGGUCCACUU